GCGUUCUGUUUUUUGACUUUGGGCUCAAUUAAAAAGUAUGACAGACUACUUGAAUCAAAACAGUUUGAUUGCUUUAAAAGUGACCAUCACUAUAAUCCAUCAUAGUAUCUCUUCUUAUUUGUAAAGGAUGUGCCUGAUCAUGAGUGCUGAACAGCACAUGGUCCCCUCAUUAUGAUGAAUCCAGCUUGGGCGCUAUUGGGCUGCAUGUCAUGCAGCAACAUGUGUCAGGUGUUGAUGGGUAGACAUGGUUUUUAUAUGGAAAAUACAAAUUAAUCCAUCAGUUUACUCUCUGUAGAGGGGAGUGAUGCUAGUUCAUGACAUCUAAAUGAAUAAUUUAGAUUAUUCAAAUUAAAGAAACAAAUUAAAGUAACCAUUAAUGUUAUGCUUUUAAUUGAAUCUGACGAUAUUGCAGUGUUGCAUCAGGGUUACGGGCUGUGUGUGUGUUGGGGGGGUAAACAACUUCACAUUUUUUCAGACUUUCAUCACCCUUGUCAGUCAAACACAUCUCUGUAUGCUGUUAUGAGAGGAUGCAAUUUGAAGAGCUGCCACUGUUACCACAGAGGAUGUGUCUAAGUCUUGAUGGGUCAAACUCUUCCUAUUCACAUUUUCUCCUCUGAACCAUCCUCCCACCUUAAAAAAAGAUGAUGUCAUAUGAGGAUGAUAAACCAGGAUGUGACUCAUUUGUAUCUUCCUAUAGCUGAGACUGUAAUCAAAGCUACAAAAACAAUUCAGUGACAUUUCUCUCAACUUCUACAGAUACUGCAGCCCACCUCAUUCCUAAGAAAGCCCAGGUGUCUGGCAGACUCAUCUACUAAGCCAUGAUGUAAACUACUUCAAGAGAUAGAAGAUCAGAUGAGAGACAUCUGUACAUUAAAUGUGUCUUGUUUCAUGGAUACAUAAAAUUAUAUGUUUAACAUCCACAAAGGUUCAGGUAGCCUACUUGUGUCUUCAUCUGUUUCUUCUUACAAGCUCACAGAGUAAUCCUCUGUAUCUCCAGUGAGGAUGCUUACAACAGAGUGCAGCUGAAGCAGACAGUGGAAGGCCUGAAUGAUAAUAAAGACUGCAUGCAAAUUAUAGCUUUAAAUUAUACAAUUAUUGUAUUAUUUUAGACUUACAGUACAAGUUCCUUCUGGUGCAGUGUUGAUAUCAGAUCUUAGACUUUUUCAUCUCAAUGAAAACAUAAACACAGAAAUUUGAUAAAAAUCUUUUGACUGCAAAAAUACAUACGGAUUGACUGGAUCUGUUACACUCGAACUUAAAGGUAUGAAUAAUUUAUUAUAAUAACAGCUUCAAAUGAAGAGUAUUUCUGAGAUUGUUCAAUAUGGCUACUGCCUUGAAUAUUUGAUAAAUGGAUUUGUCCAAAAAGGUUGAAAAAUGUGAAACAUCCGCUAAGGAAGACAACUCUGAUUUGUCUUGUUCCAUCUGUCUAAAAGUAAAAUUCAUCUCACAAUCAUAUGUGACAAACAAAAGUACCAAAUCUUCAAACUAGAGGAGUGGGAAGCUUAGAUUUGAACUAAAACAGUUCAACAGAAAGACAAACAAACUGAUGGACAAACAGACAAAUUAAGAAAUAAUAACACUGACAUUCAGAUAAACAGGCAAACAGAAAACCUAAGUGAAAGACUGACAGGCAGAAAAACAAACAAAGGAACUGACUGAUGAUUGAUUAAACAAAAAGACACAGAGAUAAAUAUAUAAACUGGCUAAUGGAUGGGCAUGAAAACAACAACAACAAAACAAUCAAAAAACAAAGAAACAAAAAAGGUAAAGACUGACAGACCAACAAAAAAUAAACAAAAAAAUAAAAAACACUGACGAGCAAACAAACAAACUAAUAGGUGGAAAGAUAAACAGACUAUAAUAAACAGACAAUCAAACAAUUAAGCAGACAACCUCUGGAGGACAGAUUUGUUGUAAAUUGGCACUAAGGAUUAAAUAACAGACCAACAAAAGAAAAAAUAGCAAAAAUCAAACAUCAACACAAUCAACACAAAAGGCAGAUAUGCAAACAAACAAACAGAGCUUCGUUAAAAACAUGAGGACAGAUGGAUGUUAAAACAUACAAAUGAAGACAAUCAAUCAAACAAUCAAUCGAUCAACAUCAAUCUUUAUCCAUGAAGUACGGAUUCAAGCAUAAUCCCAAGGAACUUUAAAAAAAAGCUGUUAAAAAUCAUACUCUAUUUACAAUUCACAAAGACCCAAUGUAAACCAACUGUUUCAAUAAACAUCUGGGCAAUCAAAAGGGGUGACUAUCAAUCAACUAUUUACAAAAAUCAACAAACAAACAAAAUAAACAAACAAAUGCAAAGAUGGCGGACAAACAAACCCUAAAUUACUGGGAAAAUAAGGACAAAUAAAUAUAUAAACACUGAAAAACUAACUAACUAACAGAAAUACUGAGGAACACACAAAUAGAAAUGUCCAGCUUACGAUCAUUCAUCUUUCAAGUAUUUUUUACUCGAUGUAAUUAGUUGCAGUCAAACUUUAUAUUUGCUGCCGUAUAUGUCCUGGGACCAGACGACCCAAUGGUGUCAAUUUUAAGAUGAUGAUGUUACGGCAGACAGUCUGACGUAAACGGUGGAUAUGUGCGGUAUGUGCUGCAGCAUUCUUUUGUCUUAUCACUAGUCUCUAUGAAAUUGUUUCCUGGGUUACUGAUACUGGAGCAGAACCAUAAUGCUGUCAGGACUAUUCUUAACAGGGCCGUUUUUGACUUCACCUGGCCAAACAAAGGUCAAAAACAGCCAUUAACCAACUCUUAACCUA
rnacentral:lncRNA from 1 species